AAUUUCAGGUGUAGCGGUGAAAUGCGUAGAGAUCUGAAGGAAUACCAGUGGCGAAGGCGGCCCCCUGGACAGAUACUGACACUCAGAUGCGAAAGCGUGGGGAGCAAACAGGAUUAGAUACCCUGGUAGUCCACGCCGUAAACGAUGUCUACUUGGAGGUUGUGGCCUUGAGCCGUGGCUUUCGGAGCUAACGCGUUAAGUAGACCGCCUGGGGAGUACGGUCGCAAGAUUAAAACUCAAAUGAAUUGACGGGGGCCCGCACAAGCGGUGGAGCAUGUGGUUUAAUUUGUUGCAACGCGAAGAACCUUACCUACUCUUGACAUCCAGAGGAGCCAGCGAAGACGCAGGUGUGCCUUCGGGAGCUCUGAGACAGGUGCUGCAUGGCUGUCGUCAGCUCGUGUUGCGAAAUGUUGGGUUAAGUCCCC
rnacentral:rRNA from 1 species